rnacentral:lncRNA from 1 species
AAAUUACCGCUUAAUAAAAAAUAAAAUCCAAAAUGUCGUUUCUAGACCUAGUUUAUCUUUAUUGAACUAAAAGCGAGUGGACGAUCGUGUUCUUCAUAUUCCAUUCACGAAGGUAUAACUUGAAUGCUAAUAGCGUUAAUAUCUAUUUGUUUCUCAAGCUAACUAUGUAUAUAACUGCAUACAUUGCAUCUGAAUCUGAUUUUCGAUUAUCGUCGUAACAUUCUCCGUCCGCUGUCUUCUGGUUAGGGUUUUAAUUGAUUUAUGUAUCAUUAGUUAAUUUUGUGUAAUUAUCUAAAUGUUUACACUGCUGUCGUCGAUUCACUAAUUCUUUACUUCUUCCCCUGGAAACAGAUAUGGAUUGCACAAUUUCUGAGGAGGAAUUAAACUCACAUAAAUGCUACCAUACUAAAAAUCCCAGCUUAGGGAUCGGGUUUUUAGGUAUUAGGGUUUCUGCCACCAUUUCAGUUAGUUAGUAUAACUUAAUCGUUUGCUUAGGUAAUUAGGUGUUAGCAUCCAUGAUCGAGUGCAAUGAAUCAAAAGAUGCAGCGGGAUGAUGGACUAUUUAUCAGUUAAAUUUCUUCAAUUUUGUAUUCUAAUUAGAGAAGUAACUGUAUAUGAAAGAAUACUAUACUCUUGGUUCUUGAUUUUAGUACUUUCCAAAUGCAAAGCUGACAUGGUGUUUCUUGCCAAAUGACAAUCAACAUUUAUUUGCAUGUAGUAUUUGUUAUAAUGUUUGAUGUAGUUUUCUAUGUUUUCUCAUACUUAAACAAUUCAUACUGUUUUUACAUCUGAAAAUAUGUGUUUGAUCCCAGAAAUCAAAGUAUGUUGUUUAUAGGAUGUAACAUAUACUAUCUACACAUAUGACAUCUGAUGUCACUGAUGAGUUUCAUCUCCUUAAAUAUCUUCAGUAUAAUUUUUUAUGUGAUAA